GACAGAGGGGGCAAGCGUUGCUCAGAAUUACUGGGCGUAAAGGGCGCGUAGGCGGAAUGGCAAGUCGGUCGUGAAAUCCUUCGGCUCAACCGAAGAACGUCGAUCGAAACUGCCGUUCUUGAGGAUUGCAGAGGAGACUGGAAUUCCCGGUGUAGCGGUGAAAUGUGUAGAGAUCGGGAGGAACACCGGUGGCGAAGGCGGGUCUCUGGGCAAUUCCUGACGCUGAGGCGCGAAAGCGUGGGGAGCAAACAGG
rnacentral:rRNA from 1 species